AGGAGUAUGGUGUAAUGAUGCACACGGGAUUUUCUUACCUUAUGAGAAGAUAUGUUAUCCCGAGGUCCUUGUUCGAAUCAAGGUACUGCUU